rnacentral:rRNA from 1 species
AGCAGCCGCGGUAAUUCCAGCUCCAAUAGCGUAUAUUAAAGUUGUUGCAGUUAAAAAGCUCGUAGUUGAAUUUCGGGGUUCUACCGUUGGUCGGGCUUUGUCUGUACUGGCGUGUAGAAUUUCUACCUUCUGGGGAACUAUCAUGUUAUUAAUUUAACGUGGUGGGAAACCAGGACCUUUACCUUGAAAAAAUCAGAGUGUUCAAAGCAGGCUUAUGUCUGAAUACAUUAGCAUGGAAUAAUAGAAUAGGACGGUGGUCCUGUUUUGUUGGUUUCUGAAUCACCGUAAUGAUUAAUAGGGAUAGUUGGGGGCAUUAGUAUUCAAUUGUCAGAGGUGAAAUUCUUGGAUUUAU